UUUAUCUUCUUUAUGACAUAUGCCAUUAUGGGAUUGACUGAUUGACUGGUGAUCUUUUAUUUAUUUAGGUCUGAAUAACUCUACCAGAAUGUAAACUGCAGGUCCUGACAGAAGGUAUAAUAGACUACAUAUGACUGAAUCUUUUUUGAGACAGGUUCUCUCUGUCAUCUAGGCUGGAGUGCAGUGGCAUGAUUUCAGCCUCAACCUCCAAGGCUCAAGUGAUCCCCUCACCUCAGCCUCCCAAGUACUUGGGACUAAGCUAAUAAUGAUAAUUACCAUGAAGAGUGGCAAUGUGGAUUAAAGGAAACAACGAAUGUGAAAAGCCCAGUACCAGGAAUACAGGAAGCACUCAAUGACAGUUGCUCUAGAAUAGAAUUAUAAGGAGAUUUCAGUACAGAGGUGAGCAUAUAUGAUGCCAGGCAACAACAGCAUGAAAAUAUCAAUGACGAGAGUUAUACUUCACAUUUGCUAUACAGCUUCAUGGAUUACAAAGCUCUUAAUGGAUUUUUCUUAUUAAGAGUCACAGCAACUUUGUAAAAUAAAGAAGACACUGAGGCCCUAAGGGGUGGCUGAGCUACCAAAUAAAAAGAGCCUGCACCACUGAAUCACAACAGGGAAGAAAGCCAUCUGCCAGCCAGGACAGCCCACAAUGGAUUGUUAUAUAGCACUGAAAUAUUUGGGUUAUUUGUUAUUACAGCUAGUAUUUCCCAAACUAACACAAUGAUAAAGAUAGUCAGUAAUAAUAGAACACUGUGCUGGUUAAUAUUAGGUGUCAACUUGACUGGAUUGAGGGAUGCCCAGAUGGCUGAAGAAGCAUUGUUCCUGGGUGUGUCUGCUAGGGUAUUGCCAGGUGAGAUUGGCAUUUGAGUCAGCGGACUGGGAAGAAGGACCUACCAAUUGGUGGGCACCAUCCAACUGGCUGCCAGCAAGGCUGGAACAAAGCAGGUAGAAGAAGGGAGAUAAGCAGCUUGCUGCUGAGUCUUCCCACUCUCACUCUUCCCUUGCCAUGCUGGACACUUGGCUUCCUCUCUUCCUGGUCUUCGACAUCAGACUCCAGGUUCCUUGGCCUUUUUGAACUCUAGGAUUUGCACAAGCAGACUCCCAGAAGCUCUCGGGCCUUCAGCCUCAGACUGAUGGUUGCAUUGUCAGCUUCCCUGGUUCUGAGACUUUGGACUUGGACUGAGCCACACUGCUGGCUUCUCUAUUUCCCCAGCUUGCAGAUGACUUAUGAUGGGACUUUGCCUUGUAAUUGUGAGUCAAUUGUGUAAGCCAAUUCUCUCUAAUA